UUCUGCAGUGUUGCCAAAACCUUCCCUCAAAGCUUUAAGAGGCAGCCAAAGGAACGACCUCCUGCACGUCUCGGAAGGAGCCCCCAUGUCCAGUGAAAAGAGAUGGGUCACGUCGAUUUAUUUUAUCAGAACAUCCGUGGCUAACGUACAAAAAUUGAACGCUUUUGUACGGACGUGGAGUCCGGCGCCGCAAUUGGCGGCAACAUCCCGCAGAGCCCUCGAGCUCCGAAUCACUACAGCUGCCGACUCCAGUCCCUGGCACAUGGACGACGGCGACACAGCGACACAGGACCAACUUUGGAGCCGCUGGUGCAUUGGCGGCAAAGUGAUAGCCUCCUCCUUGGCUACACCACUGGAUGCAAGGGAGGUGGCACGUGCACCUACCAUAAUGACGAGAUGUUUCAGUGACAUACUCUUAAGUUGCGAUCACACUGCUAAUCCCGAUUGGUCAAGAGACGGUCUUCAGGGACACUGUCUGAGGCUUUUCCUUCCAUGAUGGUCAUAUUGGUCACUCAAGAACUGACUGCAGACAUGUUCGAAGCCCACACAUUUAUCGAACGAACAUCCUUCGAAGAUGCUCGAGACGUUUCCGCAGGUACUUCCGUAGUGAACAUUGCGCUUUUGUAGGAUGCACGAGCAGGUCGACUUUGCGAUUCCAACCCGUAAAGUCAAUGCUGUUUAUUCCUUCGUAACGUUUGAUUGUAAUUAUUGUUAUUUGUUCGUACCAUCCUGAUGAGGUUCCCGGUUUCAGGCUUGGAGGUGAUCGAAUGUCACAGAAUGUGGAAGGCCAUCCGCAACCGCUAUGUUAAGAGACGAGAGCGGCGAAAGGCAAGAGUAAAGCUGGCGAGGAGGAUGUCCAGCCUCCCACGUGGGUUCUUUUCAAGUUCCUGGGGUUCCCCGAUGGUCAAAUCUGUGCAGAUGGUAGGCACAGAAUGUUUUGGACAACAAAGGGCACUGCAGAUUGUGCCGUAUUUUGUAUGCAUUGUAACGAUGACGUGGCAGAACCCUGGUUUGUCCCAAGACAAAAGGAGCCUCACACAACACCAUGUCUACAAACUGGAGUGAAGGAGCCCCCACUUCCGUGCCAGGAGAGAUCCUUGCGGAAAUGUAUUGCCCUGGAGAGACCGCAACCCCCGCAGAAAAUAGACAGCCUGGGAUGCCUGCUGAUGCCGAGAUGGAAGACAUACUGUAGCAUGAAGACAUACAUUUUAUUUAACAACUGCCUUCGAUAAGCAUGUUUGCAAGUGGCUCCUGUGUAAUUACCCUUUUCUCACUCUCCUCUUUCAUUUAAGCGAUUGGCUAUUCUUGGAGGCAGGUCCAAA